UGCUCGCAGCUGGAGGUGGCAUUUCUCCCAGGUGUAGCAGCCCACUGGGCCCCAAGUUCAUGCUCAGGUCUUGCACAUAACAGUGAGCACACCACUGGAUGAGUGCAAUGCCUUGCUGUGAGCAGCUCCUUGUACAAUGUUCAGAUGAGUCAUUGAAACAGCCCUAAAUCCUGCCAGUGUGCAAAAGCAAAAGCAAA